GACUGGGCGCCCGACUUGUGCGCCCGGGAAACCCCGUCGUUCCCUUUCCCCUGGCUGGCAGCGCGGAGGCCGCACGAUGCCUGGAGUUACUGUAAAGGACGUUAACCAGCAGGAGUUCGUCAGAGCUCUGGCAGCCUUCCUCAAAAAGUCCGGGAAGCUGAAAGUCCCCGAAUGGGUGGACACAGUCAAGCUGGCCAAACAUAAAGAGCUUGCCCCCUAUGAUGAGAACUGGUUCUACACACGAGCUGGCUUUGGCAUGGGCACAGGGACCAUCAUGACUCAUCACAGCCUCUGAAAACCAAAAGGUCAAUUCCACAGUGUGGGAAAAGCUUCCACAGCACGUCACCUGUACCUCAGAGGUGGUGCUGGGGUUGGCUCCAUGACCAAGAUCUACGGAGGACGGCAGAGAAACGGUGUCAGGCCCAGCCACUUCAGCAGAGGCUCCAAAAGUGUGGCCCGCCGCGUCCUCCAAGCCCUGGAGGGGCUGAAAAUGGUGGAGAAGGACCAAGACGGGGGCCGCAAGCUAACACCUCAGGGACAGAGAGAUCUGGACAGAAUUGCCGGACAGGUGGCAGCUGCCAACAAGAAGCAUUAGAACAAAGGAUGCUGGGUUAAUAAAUUGCCUCAUUCAUAAUCUUG